rnacentral:tRNA from 1 species
GGGGUUGUGGCUCAGUGGUAGAGCAGUUGCCUGGCAUGUGGGAGGGCCUGGGUUCGAUCCCCAGCACCA